AUGAUAAUACAUUUUCUCAAUGAUAGAAUACAAACACUCAAUAAACUAAUGCUUCAGGAAGUGGUGUCCAGGAUCUACAAAGGUGGGGAGAAAGAAGAGCAAAACCAUUUCAUGUUAGACUUCAAGUUCCAGGGAGCCUCAAAUUGUGAUUACAGUGUAAUGGCAAGUUUCUGCAAGGGUGUAAGGUCAGAUACAUUAUGCUAAUAGUGGUUCGGUAAAGGAGAAUAUUGUGGAUUGAAAAGGGAGAAAGAAAGUAAGUGGAUGAAAAAAUAAAAGUGAUUUUAUUUUUGCAUAGCAACCUUUAGAAAAACUAAAGCUAAGUUC
rnacentral:lncRNA from 1 species